GAUGAGAACGCAGCGAAAUGCGAUAAGUAAUGUGAAUUGCAGAAUUCAGUGAAUCAUCGAAUCUUUGAACGCACCUUGCGCUCCUUGGUAUUCCGAGGAGCAUGCCUGUUUGAGUGUCAUUAAAUUCUCAACCAUUAUCAACUUUUGCUGAUAAUGGCUUGGAUGUGGGGGUCUAUUUUGCUGGCUUCUCAGAUAGUCAGCUCCCCUUAAAUGCAUUAGCCGGUGCCCCGCGUGGACUGUCUAUUGGUGUGAUAAUUAUCUACGCUAUAGACAUCUGCAAUCAUAUGGGUUUGCGCUGCUUCUAACAGUCUGUUGAUUCAGACAAUACAUGACAAUUUGACCUCAAAUCAGGUAGGACUACCCGCUGAACUUAAGCAUAUCAAUAAGCGGAGGA
rnacentral:misc_RNA from 1 species